CCGCUUUUGCCCCUCCUCCCCGGCUUUCACGUUGCAGCCGUCGCGUGAAGUCCCUGCCGCCUCCCCCCUCCCUCCCGCCGCGCAGAGCCCAAAUCGCCGCGGAUACCUCGGCCUCAAGGCAGCAGCCGCUGGGGCGCCGCGGUUCGCGCUCCGCCUAGGUAGCCCCGCCUCCUCCUCCGCGGCGACCCAUGGCUCUCCUCGCCCCCGCCAUCUCCGGCGAGGUGGGUUUGCGGCUCUUAUUGGCACCACUAAGCUCUAAUGUAGUCAUCCGUACAGCCAGUUGUGUCGUGGGGAUUGGUCUACCUGUAUACUCCACUUUCAGAGCUAUAGAGAAGAAGGAUGAAAAAGAGAAAGAGCGGUUGCUCUUGUAUUGGGCAGUGUAUGGAUCCUUUAGCAUUGCUGAAGUCUUUGCAGAUAAGCUUCUUUCAAGUGUUCCUCUCUAUUAUCAUGUGAAGUUUGCUAUCCUUGUGUGGAUCCAGUUCCCUUCAAACGGGGGAUCCAAGCGUGUGUACAAAAAAUACCUACGUCCAUUUUUCCUGAAACAUCAGGCAAAAAUUGAUAGAUUUCUGAAUAUUCUGUCAAAGGAACUUACGAAGUUUGUCAGCAGCCAUGAAGAUGAAAUUCGUUUUAUAGAGAACAUGGCCAUCAGAGGUGCUACCACAGGCUAUAAAUAAAAAGGUUCUGGUUACAAUUUGGAUAGCAAGAUGUUAAGGUUGAUAUUCUUUUGGGUCUCAUAUGCUUGCAUGACAUGCUGUUAGUUCUCCACUGCAAUGUAACAACUAUCUGCUUGUGCCCUCAACAUGACUUCCAAACUACAUCGUAAAUGGCCUUGACCAACCUGAUGAACCACAAGCGAUUAAUGCAAUUGAAGGUCCGAAUCCAACUACAACGGAAGAAGCUGGUGGGUUGGGAUCUGAGACUUGAGCUGAACUUGCUAUCACAGCUCAAUUUCUCUAGCGAAGCAAAUGCUAUAUCGUUGGAUGUGCUACAGAAGUGUCCAUUCAGGUCAUCCAGGUUGUUUGGAUUGUGAAUACGACCAUUGCUGAAAGACUAAACCUAGAAACUAUGUUUUUAGUUUUAGCUAGAUAAGUACAAUCUAUAGCCACUUAAAUGGGUGUUGGAUAAAUCUUUCAGCAUUCGUUUGUCUACUUUAUUAAUAUGCCUGAGGUGUGAGAUGCAGUUCCAUGUCCAGACGUUGCCUGAUUGCUUUUUCA